rnacentral:rRNA from 1 species
GAUGAACGCUAGCUACAGGCUUAACACAUGCAAGUCGCGGGGCAGCAUGGGGGUUGCUUGCAAUCCCCGAUGGCGACCGGCGCACGGGUGAGUAACGCGUAUCCAACCUGCCCUUCACCACGGGAUAACCCGGCGAAAGUCGGACUAAUACCGUAUGUUGUCCAUUGACGGCAUCCGAUUUGGACGAAAGGUUUGGCGGCGCAGGAUGGGGAUGCGUCCGAUUAGCUGGACGGCGGGGUGACGGCCCACCGUGGCGACGAUCGGGAGGGGGUCUGAGAGGAAGGUCCCCCACACUGGAACUGAGACACGGUCCAGACUCCUACGGGAGGCAGCAGUGAGGAAUAUUGGUCAAUGGGCGUAAGCCUGAACCAGCCAAGUAGCGUGCAGGAUGACGGCCCUAUGGGUUGUAAACUGCUUUUAUGCGGGGAUAAAGUGGCCCACGUGUGGGUUUUUGCAGGUACCGCAUGAAUAAGGACCGGCUAAUUCCGUG